CUACGGGCCGCACCAGUGAGGAAUAUUGCACAAUGGGGGAAACCCUGAUGCAGCAACGCCGCGUGGAGGAUGACGCAUUUCGGUGUGUAAACUCCUUUUAUCAGAGAAGAAAAUGACGGUAUCUGAUGAAUAAGCUCCGGCUAACUCCGUGCCAGCAGCCGCGGUAAUACGGAGGGAGCAAGCGUUAUUCGGAAUCACUGGGCGUAAAGGACGCGUAGGCGGGUUUUUAAGUCAGGUGUGAAAUCCUAUGGCUCAACCAUAGAACUGCACUUGAGACUGGGGACCUAGAGUAUGGAAGGGGCAGGUGGAAUUAGUGGUGUAGGGGUAAAAUCCGUAGAUAUCACUAGGAAUACCGAAAGCGAAGGCGACCUGCUGGGACAUUACUGACGCUGAGGCGUGAAAGCGUGGGGAGCAAACAGGAUUAGAUACCCCAGUAGUC
rnacentral:rRNA from 1 species